rnacentral:rRNA from 1 species
AUACGGAGGGUGCAAGCGUUGUCCGGAUUUAUUGGGUUUAAAGGGUGCGUAGGUGGCGUGUUAAGUCAGUGGUGAAAGCCUGCAGCUCAACUGUAGAGGUGCCAUUGAUACUGACAUGCUUGAGUAUGGACGAGGUAGGCGGAAUUUGUGGUGUAGCGGUGAAAUGCAUAGAUACCACAAAGAACACCGAUAGCGAAGGCAGCUUACUGGACCAUAACUGACACUGAGGCACGAAAGUGUGGGUAGCGAACAGGAUUAGAAACCCCGGUAGUCC